GGAUGCCAACUGUCCCAAUGCAGGGUUUCCAGGGCUUCUUGUUCCUGGGUGUUCAGAUUUGGUUCGAUAUGUUCCUUCCUCAUCUGCAAUAAUUUGAUGUCCUGUGUGACCAGCUGUACAAAGGGCCAGUUUACGUGCGAAGAGGUUCACAUCUUUGAUCCAGAGGAAUUUAU